rnacentral:rRNA from 1 species
GAUGAACGCUGGCGGCGUGCCUAAUACAUGCAAGUCGAACGGAGCCGGUUUGGAAAAUCCUUCGGGGUUGGAAUUUCCGGCUUAGUGGCGGACGGGUGAGUAACGCGUGAGCAAUCUGCCUUUGAGAGGGGAAUAACAGUCGGAAACGACUGCUAAUACCGCAUAAUGUAUUUUGAUCGCAUGGUCUGAAUACCAAAGAUUUUAUCGCUCAAAGAUGAGCUCGCGUCCCAUUAGCUGGUUGGCGGGGUAACGGCCCACCAAGGCGACGAUGGGUAGCCGGACUGAGAGGUUGAACGGCCACAUUGGGACUGAGACACGGCCCAG